CAGCCAUAUCAUGUUGAAACACCUUUUCCUGUACGAUCACUGAAGUUAAGCAAUGUCAAGUCUGAUCAGUACCUAGAUGGUUGGUUGCUUGAGAAUACCAGGUGCUGUAA